rnacentral:lncRNA from 1 species
AGAUUCGGGUCUGAACCAAAGAAACUCGCAAAUUCUUAGAGAAUAGAACCCCUCCUUCUCUCUUAUUCUUCCAAUUCGCGAAUUCUUAGAGAACAGAACCCUAGCUGUCUCUCUUAUUCUUCCAAUUCCUACAGAACCCCUCCUUCUCGCUUUCUCUUCCAAUUCUUAGAGAACAGAACCCAUGCGAAAUCCCUUUCUGCCAUUCGAACCCAUCUAAAAACCCUCUCUUCCAUUCCCAAAGUCCUAAGGUAUAUUCGCGAAGUUGCCGGACAUAGAACAUAAUGAAGUCGUAAGGUACGUAGUUUGGAAACAGAGUUUUUCUCAAUAUUUUUUUAAUUAGUUUUUUAUUGGAUUGUGGCUGAUAGCCUUGUAUCUGUGUUUUUUUUGCAUUUUGGGUGUCUGCUAUGAAGCAAGUUAAUAUACAUAUAAUUUUUUUUUUAACCUAUGUAUGUUAGGUGUUUGUAAAAAUGUCUCAAUAAGGUUAUUUUGAUUAAAACAUGAAAAAUUAGUUUGUUUUCUCUGUAAAAUUGUUUAGAAUAUAAUGAUUUAUAGAUUAACUCAGUUGUUUAUAAUAGCAUGAUUAAUGGCUUUAGAAAUCUAGAUAUCCUGAUGCAACGCUUGCCUUGCAUAAGAAAAUGACUGAUGAAGGGAUUCCAUGUGCCUUACAAACAUACACUACUGUAAUUGAUACAUGUAUACAAAGAUGCUUGCAAAGGGUAUUGUCUAUUGAAAUUUGUUUGUAUUAAUAUUACAGUACCGAUGAGCACGAAUUCAUCAGGGAGUUUAAUAGGCAGUUGCAAAUGUGGAUUUCCUCCACCUGUGAAGGUUUCAUGGACCACUGGUAGGUCUUAGAUUUCCACUAGAAAUCUCAUAAAUAUAAGCAAGAAAACAAAAAAAGAAGAAGGGGAAAAACAAUCCAAGAAGUUAAAACAAUAGAGUAAGUUAUGGACAUAAACUACAAAAGUUACAAGCUAAAACCAUCUAACUCAAGUCUCUAUCUGCUUUUUUUAUGUGCCUUGUUAUACUUGUGGAACAAUUUUCAUUAACUUGGCAUGCUUAAGAUUGCUCUUAUUCCGACUCAGUGUCAUAUCUGGCUUAACACCCUUAGCAAAUUGCUUCACUACUUGAGUGUCAACGUGGCUGUGAUAGAUUUUAAGAUUUGGCUUGGUGUCGAAAUCCUUGAUGAAAUGAUCCAUGUUUAACUCCUUUACGAAAUGCCUCAAGUUUACUGAAAUGAUCAAUACAUCAUGCCUGCAUAUUGUUUCUUUCUUGAUCCCAGAGUUUACUUUUUGACCAUAUCUUUAUCUGUAUGUUUUUCAGUUUUUUACAACCAUACCAGACCACAAAAGUUUUCAAGUCCAAAAAGUAUCUUUAUGCAAAUGAUGCAACAACUGGAGAGAAACCUAUGCAUAAAGACAUGAAGAAAAUGGAUACAACAACAGAAGAUCAUACUACUAAGAUUGAAAAGAUUGGUCAAGAUGGUCAUAUCAAGGGAAUCACUAUGUAAAUGUAGUUUAUUUUCUUAUGAAUUACACAAGGGAAUCACUAUGUCAUGUGAUGUAUUCACUCUUCUUUAAGGACCUGUUUUGAUGUAAUGAUUUUUAGAAUCGCGGACAUCUUGAUUACUUGUAUUUUUAUUGGCUAUUUGCUGGACUUAGUGCAGUGGCAUUGGUAUUAUACCUGUAAGCUUGAUGAUGUAGAAUUUGUAUAAUUCAAAAGUCAGGAAAGUGGUGGUGGCACUAAUUCAAGUAAUAAUGUAUUUUUCAGGCUUCAAUAUCAC